rnacentral:lncRNA from 1 species
AAUUUAAAUUUUUAAAUUUUGAGUGUUGAAUUUUAAAUAGUUUAAAUUUAGGAUCAAUAAUAGAGAUCUAUUUGGGUUAUUUUUUCAAUUCUUAUAUCAUUAUAAUUGUAACAUUUUCCACAUUUUCAACUAUAAAUAUACAUGAUAAUUAUUAAUAAAAUAUCGUGAUGGAUGACGUGCAUAUAACUUAUCGGGCACCAGCUAGCACCUUAGGUCGACAAAGUUAUGAUCCACUUGUCUAGAGACUACCACAUGAGUAUUAUGUUAGAGGUAAUGGCACUAAAAAGCCAACCGAUGAUGAAUAAAACUGAAAAUUAGCACACUGUGUAAUUUCUUCGAGAACUAGAAAACCCUUGUUAAAAGACUACUUGUUUGAGGAGCAAGUAUCACAGAUCGUUUUGCAUGCGAUCGUAAGAUCAGCACUAAAUUUUUUUUUUUAUCAAAAAUUAUCAACAAACAGUUUUACAACAAUGAGGGCAAAAGUAUGCCAUCGUGACAGAAUAUCCACUCAGCUAAAAUAACUCAAUAGCGAUGCAGAACUCUCACCCAUACAACCUCAAUUCCAAAAAUAAGUCAUGUCAUUGACUAGCCUCCCCUAUAAAACUCAGUGUUGCAGUU